rnacentral:sRNA from 1 species
GUUUUGCGUUAGGGAUUGAAACGGCAGCUUUUUUGUCCGCCAGCUGGCGGACAAAAACUAAAGUGUAAAGCCCGCCCGAAC